UACGUAGGUGGCAAGCGUUGUCCGGAUUUACUGGGCGUAAAGGGCGUGCAGGCGGUUUGUUAAGUUCAGGGUGAAAGCUCCCGGCUCAACUGGGAGAGGUCCUUGGAUACUGGCAGACUUGAGGAGGGUAGAGGAGAGUGGAAUUCCCGGUGUAGUGGUGAUAUGCGUAGAUAUCGGGAGGAACACCAGUGGCGAAGGCGGCUCUCUGGGCCUUACCUGACGCUGAGACGCGAAAGCGUGGGGAGCGAACCGG
rnacentral:rRNA from 1 species